rnacentral:rRNA from 1 species
CCUACGGGUGGCAGCAGUGAGGAAUAUUGGUCAAUGGACGAGAGUCUGAACCAGCCAAGUAGCGUGAAGGAUGACUGCCCUAUGGGUUGUAAACUUCUUUUAUAAAGGAAUAAAACGAGGCACGUGUGCCUUUUUGCAUGUACUUUAUGAAUAAGGAUCGGCUAACUACGUGCCAGCAGCCGCGGUAAUACGUAGGGGGCGAGCGUUAUCCGGAUUUAUUGGGUUUAAAGGGAGCGUAGACGGCAUGAUAAGUCUGGAGUGAAAGCACGGGGCUUAACCCCGGAACUGCUUUGGAUACUGUGCGGCUGGAGUGCAGGAGGGGUAAGCGGAAUUCCUAGUGUAGCGGUGAAAUGCGUAGAUAUUAGGAGGAACACCGGUGGCGAAGGCGGCUUACUGGACUGUAACUGACGUGGAGGCUCGAAAGCGUGGGGAGCAAACAGGAUUAGAUACCCGAGUAGUC